rnacentral:rRNA from 1 species
CGGUAGCACAGAGAGCUUGCUCUCGGGUGACGAGCGGCGGACGGGUGAGUAAUGUCUGGGAAACUGCCUGAUGGAGGGGGAUAACUACUGGAAACGGUAGCUAAUACCGCAUAACGUCGCAAGACCAAAGUGGGGGACCUUCGGGCCUCAUGCCAUCAGAUGUGCCCAGAUGGGAUUAGCUAGGUAGGUGGGGUAACGGCUCACCUAGGCGACGAUCCCUAGCUGGUCUGAGAGGAUGACCAGCCACACUGGAACUGAGACACGGUCCAGACUCCUACGGGAGGCAGCAGUGGGGAAUAUUGCACAAUGGGCGCAAGCCUGAUGCAGCCAUGCCGCGUGUGUGAAGAAGGCCUUCGGGUUGUAAAGCACUUUCAGCGGGGAGGAAGGCGGUGAGGUUAAUAACCUCAUCGAUUGACGUUACCCGCAGAAGAAGCACCGGCUAACUCCGUGCCAGCAGCCGCGGUAAUACGGAGGGUGCAAGCGUUAAUCGGAAUUACUGGGCGUAAAGCGCACGCAGGCGGUCUGUCAAGUCGGAUGUGAAAUCCCCGGGCUCAACCUGGGAACUGCAUUCGAAACUGGCAGGCUAGAGUCUUGUCAGAGGGGGGUAGAAUUCCAGGUGUAGCGGUGAAAUGCGUAGACGAUCUGGAGGAAUACCGGUGGCGAAGGCGGCCCCCUGGACAAAGACUGACGCUCAGGUGCGAAAGCGUGGGGAGCAAACAGGAUUCAGAUACCCUGGUAGUCCACGCUGUAAACGAUGUCGAUUGGAGGUUGUGCCCCUUGAAGGCGUGGCUUUCCGGACC